UACACUCAUGGCACAUCCACAGAAUGGGGU
rnacentral:piRNA from 1 species